AACGCACAUUGCGCCCGCCAGUAUUCUGGCGGGCAUGCCUGUUCGAGCGUCAUUUCAACCCUCAAGCCCAGCUUGGUGUUGGGAGCUGUUUUAGUUAACACUCCCCAAAUUGAUUGGCGGUCACGUCGAGCUUCCAUAGCGUAGUAAUUUACACAUCGUUACUGGUAAUCGACGCGGCCACGCCGUUAAACCCCAACUUCUGAAUGUUGACCUCGGAUCAGGUAGGAAUACCCGCUGAACUUAA
rnacentral:misc_RNA from 2 species